rnacentral:rRNA from 1 species
GUAGGGUGCGAGCGUUAAUCGGAAUUACUGGGCGUAAAGCGUGCGCAGGCGGUUCUGCAAGUCAGCUGUGAAAGCCCCGGGCUUAACCUGGGAACGGCGGUCGAAACUGCAGGACUAGAAUCUGGCAGAGGGGGGUGGAAUUCCACGUGUAGCAGUGAAAUGCGUAGAGAUGUGGAGGAACACCGAUGGCGAAGGCAGCCCCCUGGGCUAAGAUUGACGCUCAGGCACGAAAGCGUGGGGAGCAAACAGGAUUAGAUACCCUGGUAGUCCACGCCCUAAACGAUGUCGACUAGUUGUCGGGUCUUUACAGACUUGGUAACGCAGCUAACGCGUGAAGUCGACCGCCUGGGGAGUACGGUCGCAAGAUUA